ensembl:lncRNA
AACAAAAGCCUUGGCCAUUGGGCAACGGGAGAAAGAAAUAAACAAUAACAGUCCGCGACUUAACCGUCCUGGCGGGCGACUUGGAGAGAGAACAGUGUGUUGUUUGGACCAAGCUUGGUUUCAACAUUUCCGCAAUUUAUUCGGAAGUGACAGUGAGGACGAAUAAAACAAUUGCACCACAGCAGUCCAAGAGCGACGACCGCCAGGGUCCACUCGGAGCGGACCAUCGUCUCGCCACUAGAAGACCGGUGCUCACAGAUGAACAUAUCACCAUCAGGUACACAGCAUGCCCUCCUACCAACCUUCAAUCACAUGGGCUGGUGAAAGGACCUAUAGACAACCCCGCUUUCUAGGAGUCCACCCUGCACCCCCUUCGUCCUCCCACGUCGGACUUAAGGUAGAAUUCAUUCACCUGUAACGAGAAUAAGGGCUGACUAGAGGCAUUGACUUCAGUUGUGCAGGC